UAAAUAUUAAUUGACAAUAAAUGAUUAUUAAUUUAUUUAUGAGCAUGUUUUAUGUUUAAAAAAAAUUGUAUACUUAUUAUUUUGUAUAUAUAUAUUUUUUUAGGAAAAUUUGAAAUUUUGACCCUAUAAUUUGGAGUAAGUUAAAAUUUAGGUCUUAUGGUUUAUAAUUAGAAUUUAGCUUUGUGGUUUGAUAAAAGCAUCAUAAUAAAUAGUCCCUAUGGUAUGGAUUAUUUAAGAGAAUUUAAAAAACCAUACGGACUAUAUAUGAAGUUAUAUCGAACUAUAAGAACUAAAUUUUAAAAUCAUAUGGUAUAGUUUUUAACUUUAUCCAAAUCAUAGAGACUAAACUUGGAAUUUGACCUAAUUUAAUUUAUAAUACAUUACAUAAUAUAUAUUUGAAUUUAAAAAAAAAAAAAAAAAGUUAGGUUUAUAAUAUAGCAUAUUAUAUUUCUAAAUAUUUUUAACUUCAUUUAAUAUAUUUAUGCAUUUUAAAUUGGGAAAUUCUUAUAAAUAGGAAAAAAAAAAAAAAACUAUUUACAUGCAUAGCAAAGAAAAAGGGGGUAAUCGACAAGCAACCUUUCCCUUUUCUGAAAUUUUCGAAAAUACCCUUUUUACAUUUCAAUUUCGCGCACUCGCGUAAUCGACGAUUUCUUCUCUUUCGACUUCGGCGUCUUCUUCUUCCUCGAUCGAUGACUUCUUCGGUGACUUCUUCUUCUUUGAGUGUGGCAACUUCUUCUUGCCUUCUUCUUCAUCAUCGUUUUUCUUCUUCAUCAUCAGCAAUUGAGUGAGAGCCAUCUUCUUUGCAUGAUCGUCUUCAAUAUAUUGAGAAGAUUGGAGUGAAUUUGAGGCAUGCAAUUUGUAGAAUGCUGAAAAAUUCACGUGAAGAAAGUGUUCUUCAAGUGGGUUGCUGCUGUGAGUUAUUCUCCAAAUUCCCUUAAUUCAAGCUUAUUUUGAGUCUCACAACUCAAUCUAAAGUUCCAAGAGGAUAGUAGGGAUGAUCUUGAGGUGGUCUACAACAAGAUUUAGAGAGAUUUUCAGCUGGAAAUCAAGCUUUGAAGAAGUUCUACAAAGUAUGAUAGCUUUGACUUCCAAUAAAUCACAGCGAAGGUUGAGUCAUCACAUAACUCUCCCACUACUGAAAGGUUUAUGAGUUUUCAUCUUAUCAUCUUAUAUGACAAUGAAGACUUCAAUAAGCUGGAGUUCUCCCACUGCUCUCGCAAAGACAACAUGUCCAGUUCUUACACGCAUCGUCAUCUCAGCAAGUGCCAGCUGCCACUAGGAAUCAAUUCCCUGAAAUGAAGAAUAUGUUGGGUUUUAUGUCCUAAAACUCGUAGAUAGUAAAUGUUAUUAAUUGACCGUCAUCAAUAAAGAAUUAUAGAUG